rnacentral:rRNA from 1 species
UUAAGUUAUUAAGGGCGCACGGUGGAUGCCUUGGCACUAGAAGCCGAUGAAGGACGUUACUAACGACGAUAUGCUUUGGGGAGCUGUAAGUAAGCUUUGAUCCAGAGAUUUCCGAAUGGGGAAACCCAACAUGAGUUAUGUCAUGUUAUCGAUAUGUGAAUACAUAGCAUAUCAGAAGGCACACCCGGAGAACUGAAACAUCUUAGUACCCGGAGGAAGAGAAAGAAAAUUCGAUUCCCUUAGUAGCGGCGAGCGAAACGGGAAGAGCCCAAACCAACAAGCUUGCUUGUUGGGGUUGUAGGACACUCUAUACGGAGUUACAAAGGACGACAUUAGACGAAUCAUCUGGAAAGAUGAAUCAAAGAAGGUAAUAAUCCUGUAGUCGAAAAUGUUGUCUCUCUUGAGUGGAUCCUGAGUACGACGGAGCACGUGAAAUUCCGUCGGAAUCUGGGAGGACCAUCUCCUAAGGCUAAAUACUCUCUAGUGACCGAUAGUGAACCAGUACCGUGAGGGAAAGGUGAAAAGCACCCCGGAAGGGGAGUGAAAUAGAACCUGAAACCGUGUGCUUACAAGUAGUCAGAGCCCGUUAAUGGGUGAUGGCGUGCCUUUUGUAGAAUGAACCGGCGAGUUACGAUUUGAUGCAAGGUUAAGCAGUAAAUGUGGAGCCGUAGCGAAAGCGAGUCUGAAUAGGGCGUUUAGUAUUUGGUCGUAGACCCGAAACCAGGUGAUCUACCCUUGGUCAGGUUGAAGUUCAGGUAACACUGAAUGGAGGACCGAACCGACUUACGUUGAAAAGUGAGCGGAUGAACUGAGGGUAGCGGAGAAAUUCCAAUCGAACCUGGAGAUAGCUGGUUCUCUCCGAAAUAGCUUUAGGGCUAGCCUCAAGUGAUGAUUAUUGGAGGUAGAGCACUGUUUGGACGAGGGGCCCCUCUCGGGUUACCGAAUUCAGACAAACUCCGAAUGCCAAUUAAUUUAACUUGGGAGUCAGAACAUGGGUGAUAAGGUCCGUGUUCGAAAGGGAAACAGCCCAGACCACCAGCUAAGGUCCCAAAAUAUAUGUUAAGUGGAAAAGGAUGUGGCGUUGCCCAGACAACUAGGAUGUUGGCUUAGAAGCAGCCAUCAUUUAAAGAGUGCGUAAUAGCUCACUAGUCGAGUGACACUGCGCCGAAAAUGUACCGGGGCUAAACAUAUUACCGAAGCUGUGGAUUGUCCUUUGGACAAUGGUAGGAGAGCGUUCUAAGGGCGUUGAAAAGUGAGCGGAUGAACUGAGGGUAGCGGAGAAAUUCCAAUCGAACCUGGAGAUAGCUGGUUCUCUCCGAAAUAGCUUUAGGGCUAGCCUCAAGUGAUGAUUAUUGGAGGUAGAGCACUGUUUGGACGAGGGGCCCCUCUCGGGUUACCGAAUUCAGACAAACUCCGAAUGCCAAUUAAUUUAACUUGGGAGUCAGAACAUGGGUGAUAAGGUCCGUGUUCGAAAGGGAAACAGCCCAGACCACCAGCUAAGGUCCCAAAAUAUAUGUUAAGUGGAAAAGGAUGUGGCGUUGCCCAGACAACUAGGAUGUUGGCUUAGAAGCAGCCAUCAUUUAAAGAGUGCGUAAUAGCUCACUAGUCGAGUGACACUGCGCCGAAAAUGUACCGGGGCUAAACAUAUUACCGAAGCUGUGGAUUGUACUUUGGACAAUGGUAGGAGAGCGUUCUAAGGGCGUUGAAGCAUGAUCGUAAGGACAUGUGGAGCGCUUAGAAGUGAGAAUGCCGGUGUGAGUAGCGAAAGACGGGUGAGAAUCCCGUCUACCGAUUGACUAAGGUUUCCAGAGGAAGGCUCGUCCGCUCUGGGUUAGUCGGGUCCUAAGCUGAGGCCGACAGGCGUAGGCGAUGGAUAACAGGUUGAUAUUCCUGUACCACCUAUAAUCGUUUUAAUCGAUGGGGGGACGCAGUAGGAUAGGCGAAGCGUGCGAUUGGAUUGCACGUCUAAGCAGUAAGGCUGAGUAUUAGGCAAAUCCGGUACUCAUUAAGGCUGAGCUGUGAUGGGGAGAAGACAUUGUGUCUUCGAGUCGUUGAUUUCACACUGCCGAGAAAAGCCUCUAGAUAGAAAAUAGGUGCCCGUACCGCAAACCGACACAGGUAGUCAAGAUGAGAAUUCUAAGGUGAGCGAGCGAACUCUCGUUAAGGAACUCGGCAAAAUGACCCCGUAACUUCGGGAGAAGGGGUGCUCUUUAGGGUUAACGCCCAGAAGAGCCGCAGUGAAUAGGCCCAAGCGACUGUUUAUCAAAAACACAGGUCUCUGCUAAACCGUAAGGUGAUGUAUAGGGGCUGACGCCUGCCCGGUGCUGGAAGGUUAAGAGGAGUGGUUAGCUUCUGCGAAGCUACGAAUCGAAGCCCCAGUAAACGGCGGCCGUAACUAUAACGGUCCUAAGGUAGCGAAAUUCCUUGUCGGGUAAGUUCCGACCCGCACGAAAGGCGUAACGAUUUGGGCACUGUCUCAACGAGAGACUCGGUGAAAUCAUAGUACCUGUGAAGAUGCAGGUUACCCGCGACAGGACGGAAAGACCCCGUGGAGCUUUACUGUAGCCUGAUAUUGAAAUUCGGCACAGCUUGUACAGGAUAGGUAGGAGCCUUUGAAACGUGAGCGCUAGCUUACGUGGAGGCGCUGGUGGGAUACUACCCUAGCUGUGUUGGCUUUCUAACCCGCACCACUUAUCGUGGUGGGAGACAGUGUCAGGCGGGCAGUUUGACUGGGGCGGUCGCCUCCUAAAAGGUAACGGAGGCGCUCAAAGGUUCCCUCAGAAUGGUUGGAAAUCAUUCAUAGAGUGUAAAGGCAUAAGGGAGCUUGACUGCGAGACCUACAAGUCGAGCAGGGUCGAAAGACGGACUUAGUGAUCCGGUGGUUCCGCAUGGAAGGGCCAUCGCUCAACGGAUAAAAGCUACCCCGGGGAUAACAGGCUUAUCUCCCCCAAGAGUUCACAUCGACGGGGAGGUUUGGCACCUCGAUGUCGGCUCAUCGCAUCCUGGGGCUGUAGUCGGUCCCAAGGGUUGGGCUGUUCGCCCAUUAAAGCGGUACGCGAGCUGGGUUCAGAACGUCGUGAGACAGUUCGGUCCCUAUCCGUCGUGGGCGUAGGAAAUUUGAGAGGAGCUGUCCUUAGUACGAGAGGACCGGGAUGGACAUACCUCUGGUGUACCAGUUGUCGUGCCAACGGCAUAGCUGGGUAGCUAUGUGUGGACGGGAUAAGUGCUGAAAGCAUCUAAGCAUGAAGCCCCCCUCAAGAUGAGAUUUCCCAACUUCGGUUAUAAGAUCCCUCAAAGAUGAUGAGGUUAAUAGGUUCGAGGUGGAAGCAUGGUGACAUGUGGAGCUGACGAAUACUAAUCGAUCGAAGACUUAAUCAA